GGAAGGAUCAUUGACACCUAUUCCAUGGGAGAUCCAGUCCACCGUGUAUCGGUAGAACCAAAUCCUGCAAGGCCGGACGGAGUGGAAAUGAGCGUGCCCUUCUGGGCACAGGAUUAAGCCCCCGGACGGCUCUGUGGGUGGGUUCCACGCCCUCUAGGCAGUCAAAUGCCUCUAGGAAGUGGGUCUCUGUCAACCAACUGGUGUCGGAGCAUCCAGCCCCAGAAAUGGGGCCGCUUGCGAAUUCACUGGGGGGCGUUCCGGGCACGUCAGUGCUCGGGUCGCCCUGCCUGGGAUCCUGCCUUCACCGGCCUCCUGCCGGCUCUGCACCUCCGGGUGUGCAGCCGGUGUGUUGCUGGGGGCUGGUUGCACCCCCUCGGGAGUGUGGCCCGCCGUGGCCUGGUCCAACUGGUUCGCCGGUGCUUGCCUUCGCCCUCACAGGCGAGCGCAGGCCCCGGCGUUCUGGGGGUAUAGCAUACGCUGCCUCUCGAGGCAGCGCAUCUUGUACCUGGAAUCCAGCCCCGAACCGAGCCGAGCUUGGCUGCCCGCUCCUGUCACAGGGAUCGAGCGGCGUUGCAGAGCCGACCAUGGUCAGCUGAAUUUACGUGGUUUUGCCACGGGGAAAUCAAUCUAAAACAACUCUUAACAAUGGAUAUCUUGGUUCUCGCAACGAUGAAGAACGCAGCGAAAUGCGAUACCUAGUGUGAAUUGCAGGGCUCAGUGAAUCAUCGAAAUUUUGAACGCAUAUUGCGCUCAUGGGUGACCAUGAGCACGCCUGUUUGAGGAACGGUACCACAAUAUCAAUCGCCGCUGCCAUCCCAGGAUGGCACUGGCGGAGAGUGAUUGUCACGGGCCAGCCGGCUCGCGUCGAUUGAAAUGCAAUGGGACCCUUUGUGCCGCGCACUGGGAUCAUAUGAUGCCACUGGGGGGAGGCCUGUAUUCCAAACAGCUCGUCCAGCCAAUGCAUCCAACUGAUGUGCCAGCCUCUCUCUCGGGAGGAGCGGCAUCGCUUGGGUGUAUGGACUUGUUGGCAGGGUAACGCCCGGCGGUAAGGAAGGGUUGCGGUGCGGGGUGCAGCGUGGGGGCCAUCAUUCUGGGACUUCUCGGAUUCGUUCUCAAAUCAGGCGAGACUACCCGCUGAACUUAAGCAUAUCACUAAGCGGAGGAAAAGAAACUAACCAGGAUUCCCCUAGUAACGGCGAGUGAACAGGGAAGAGCUCAAGCCUAAAAUCUUCGGAAUUGUAGUCUAUAGGUGCGAACUUGCAUAACCCCGGGUAGAAAUCCGUUCUUGGAACUGGGUGCCAGAGAGGGUUAGAGCCCCGUCUUUGACUCGGUAGGGUGUGCGUGAUAAGUUUGCUCCAGAGAGUCGGCUUGCUUGGGAAUGCAGGCCAAAGUGGGUGGUAAACUCCAUUCUUUUAAAGCUAAAUAUUGGCGAGAGACCGAUAGCGAACAAGUACUGUGAAGGAAAGAUGGAAAGAACUUUGAAAAGAGAGUGAAAAAGGGCUUGAAAUUGUUGAGAGGAGAAGUGAUUGGAGCCUAUCCUGCGUGUUGGGAUUCUAGGGUUGGAGCUUGCUCCCGCCUGCACCAUGUCGACACGCUGGCCAGCAUCGGUUUCCCGUGGGGGACAAGGCUCGGAGGGCGGCGGGCGUCAAAACCUUCUGGCUCCGGGCGCAUGACCCGUGGGGGACCGAGGCACUAAGAGCACGUUAUGCGACUGGCCCACUCUGCUGCUUGCGCUGCCCUUGCACACUUUGUGUUCGGGGGCAGUGGUGGGUCCGAUAGGGUGGAGCGCUAGACCUGUGCUCUGAAGAUGCUGGCACAAUGGCUUCAACCAGCCCGUCUUGAAACACGGACCAAGGAGUCUAACACGUAUGCGAGUAGUAAGGUGGCAAACCUUGGAUGCGAAAUGAAAGUGAAAUUGGUGGGAUCCUCUCUGAGGUGCACCAUCGACCGACCAGGAUCUACUGUGAAUGGUUUGAGUAAGAGCAUAUUUGUUGGGACCCGAAAGAUGGUGAACUAUGCCUGAAUAGGGUGAAGCCAGAGGAAACUCUGGUGGAGGCUCGUAGCGGUACUGACGUGCAAAUCGUUCGUCAAAUUUGGGUAUAGGGGCGAAAGACUAAUCGAACCAUCUAGUAGCUGGUUCCCUC
rnacentral:misc_RNA from 1 species